GAUGAAGAACGUAGCGAAAUGCGAUAAGUAAUGUGAAUUGCAGAAUUCAGUGAAUCAUCGAAUCUUUGAACGCACAUUGCGCCCGCCAGUAUUCUGGCGGGCAUGCCUGUCUGAGCGUCAUUUCAACCCUCAAGCCCCCGGGCUUGGUGUUGGGGAUCGGCGUGCCCUCGCGGCGCGCCGUCCCCUAAAUCUAGUGGCGGUCUCGCUGUAGCUUCCUCUGCGUAGUAGCAACACUCGCACUGGAUCGCAGCGCGGCCACGCCGUUAAACCCCCCACUUCUGAAAGUUUGACCUCGGAUCAGGUAGGAAUACCCGCUGAACUUAAGCAUAUCAAUAAGCGGAGGA
rnacentral:misc_RNA from 1 species